rnacentral:rRNA from 2 species
UUAAAUUGAAGAGUUUGAUCAUGGCUCAGAUUGAACGCUGGCGGCAGGCCUAACACAUGCAAGUCGAACGGUAACAGGAAGUAGCUUGCUGCUUCGCUGACGAGUGGCGGACGGGUGAGUAAUGUCUGGGAAACUGCCUGAUGGAGGGGGAUAA